UGCGUCGCCGAGACAACUCUCCAUCUCCAAGCCUCCAACCAGCCGGCACCGGCGAGCCCCACGCAUUGCCAAUUUGGCGUCGCAUUCACAUCCAACCGCUCGCUUGCGCCCCCCGCAACGCAGCGUCACGACACCGCGGAUUCGAUUCCCUCCUGGCCUCCUCCCUCCAAACCUCCGUUGCUUUUCGCUUUUCCGGCUGGGCUGCUGUUACCGCCUUCGGGGGGCAGUCGGGCAGGCGUUGAGCGAGCCCUCGGUCUCGACGCCUCCGUCCGCCACCGGGAGCGCGCCAUGGCCGCCGCCGCCGGCGGCGCGGGUUCUCCCCUCCGCCGCGCGUCGUCGUCCGCCGAGACCGUACGGCCGCGAUGAGCCCCGCGGUCCGGGUGAGGAGGGCUGCUCCGUCCGCGCCCGGUCGGGGCGCCAAGGUGGAGGAGCGAGGGGAGGAGGCGGUGGUCGCGUGGCGGGAGCUGCAGGGCCGAGCGGUGGCGCUCGCGGCCGCGGCCGAGGAGCGGGCGGCCCUGGCCCGCCGCAUCGAGGCCGCGCUCGAGGUGAGGAGGGAGGCGCUGCGGCAGGCGGAGGCGCUGGGCGAGCUGAGGCGGAGGUUGGACCUCCAGCACGCGCGCGCGGAGGAGGCCGUCGUCGGGAGGAGGCGGGCGGCCCAGGACGUCGAGCGGGGGAAGGAGCGGCUGCAGGAGCAGAUCGAGCGGGUGCUGCCGCUGUCCAGGGCCCUCACCGCCGCGCACCAGCGAGUGCAGGAGGCGAAGGAGGCUUUAGCUGGAGACAAGGCCAGGCUUGAGGAUCUGCAGAGGCUGCUUAGGACGAGGCAGCAGUGCAUGGUUGGCCAGGUCGCUGCCUUGUACCCUGUGAAGGUCUUCCAUGAUCUGUCCCAACACGCAGAAAACCAUCGUGCCGACACUAAUGGGGAGCAUGGAACACUUUCAGAGGAAAAUAGAACACCUUCAGGAGCAUAUGGAACUCAUGUACCCAGUGCCAUUAAAUCUCCUCAAGUGCGUGCUUGGACGUUUUUUGGCUGGCAAAUUAUGAAGCCUAAAAGAAGGCAAAAGAAUUACAGUGACAAGGAGCUUCAGAGGUCUGCAACUGUUCUGGGAUAUGCAGCCCAUGCAGUCUUGCUCAUAGCCUCCUAUCUCGAUGUUCCCCUCCGAUAUCCCCUACGCUUUGGAGGAUCCCGAUCUUAUGUGAGUGAUCGUUUGCCUUCAGCUGAAACAUCGGCUGCUUCAGCAGAAAACGCAAGCACGAACAACACCGGGUCAGAACUAACAGAAUACCCCCUUUUCAUGGAAUGCCAAGAAGAUGACUCCACUAGGGCCUCCUAUGCCAUUUAUUUGUUACACAAGGAUACGGAGCAGCUUCUGAACUACAUUGGAGCAGAGAGCUCUGGGAGGCAUGUAUUUGGUAACCUGAGAGAGCUUCUUAGGAUCGUACUGUCCGAUGAGUAUGUGUACAGAUGAUGGAUGGAUUCGAUCCCCACGUGGUUUUGAAGUGCUUAUGCUCUAGAGAAGUGUCAUACAGAUGUUUCUCUGCGUGUUAUCCUAGGCAAGCUAGACAUUUUGCGCAAGCAUCAGGAGCUGAUGUCGAGAUCGCAUUGUCCGGCCGACACGCCACCUCCUAAUUUCAACAGGACCAACCAAUAUCCAGAAAUGCUCUGAGUACCCUGGCUUUCCAACCUGGCGUUCUUGAGCGAGAAGCACGCCACUGAUCUGGCGCCGCUGUGUCAAAGAGGCGACACGGCAAAAUGUGUUUUUUAUGGUUCGCGGCAGGGCCUUGUGAUGUGCCUUCCUAAAGCCGGUGCACCAACAUCUGAUCCUGAGGUGUGGUCAUCAUCAGCGCC